UACAGGCUUAACACAUGCAAGUCGAGGGGCAGCAUGGUCUUAUCUUGCUAAGGCCGAUGGCGACCGGCGCACGGGUGAGUAACACGUAUCCAACCUGCCGUCUACUCUUGGACAGCCUUCUGAAAGGAAGAUUAAUACAAGAUGGCAUCAUGAGUCCGCAUGUUCACAUGAUUAAAGGUAUUCCGGUAGACGAUGGGGAUGCGUUCCAUUAGAUAGUAGGCGGGGUAACGGCCCACCUAGUCUUCGAUGGAUAGGGGUUCUGAGAGGAAGGUCCCCCACAUUGGAACUGAGACACGGUCCAAACUCCUACGGGAGGCAGCAGUGAGGAAUAUUGGUCAAUGGGCGAGAGCCUGAACCAGCCAAGUAGCGUGAAGGAUGACUGCCCUAUGGGUUGUAAACUUCUUUUAUAAAGGAAUAAAGUCGGGUAUGGAUACCCGUUUGCAUGUACUUUAUGAAUAAGGAUCGGCUAACUCCGUGCCAGCAGCCGCGGUAAUACGGAGGAUCCGAGCGUUAUCCGGAUUUAUUGGGUUUAAAGGGAGCGUAGAUGGAUGUUUAAGUCAGUUGUGAAAGUUUGCGGCUCAACCGUAAAAUUGCAGUUGAUACUGGAUAUCUUGAGUGCAGUUGAGGCAGGCGGAAUUCGUGGUGUAGCGGUGAAAUGCUUAGAUAUCACGAAGAACUCCGAUUGCGAAGGCAGCCUGCUAAGCUGCAACUGACAUUGAGGCUCGAAAGUGUGGGUAUCAAACAGGAUUAGAUACCCUGGUAGUCCACACGGUAAACGAUGAAUACUCGCUGUUUGCGAUAUACUGCAAGCGGCCAAGCGAAAGCGUUAAGUAUUCCACCUGGGGAGUACGCCGGCAACGGUGAAACUCAAAGGAAUUGACGGGGGCCCGCACAAGCGGAGGAACAUGUGGUUUAAUUCGAUGAUACGCGAGGAACCUUACCCGGGCUUAAAUUGCAGAUGAAUUACGGUGAAAGCCGUAAGCCGCAAGGCAUCUGUGAAGGUGCUGCAUGGUUGUCGUCAGCUCGUGCCGUGAGGUGUCGGCUUAAGUGCCAUAACGAGCGCAACCCUUGUUGUCAGUUACUAACAGGUUCCGCUGAGGACUCUGACAAGACUGCCAUCGUAAGAUGUGAGGAAGGUGGGGAUGACGUCAAAUCAGCACGGCCCUUACGUCCGGGGCUACACACGUGCUACAAUGGGGGGUACAGAGGGCCGCUACCACGCGAGUGGAUGCCAAUCCCCAAAACCUCUCUCAGUUCGGACUGGAGUCUGCAACCCGACUCCACGAAGCUGGAUUCGCUAGUAAUCGCGCAUCAGCCACGGCGCGGUGAAUACGUUCCCGGGCCUUGUACACACCGCCCGUCAAGCCAUGGGAGCCGGGGGUACCUGAAGUGCGUAACCGCGAGGAGCGCCCUAGGGUAAAACUGGUGACUGG
rnacentral:rRNA from 1 species